rnacentral:rRNA from 1 species
UUAUAAGAGACAGCAGCCGCCGCGGUAACACGGAGGGUGCAAGCGUUAAUCGGAAUUACUGGGCGUAAAGCGCACGCAGGCGGUCUGACAAGUCAGAUGUGAAAUCCCCGGGCUUAACCUGGGAACUGCAUUUGAAACUGUCAGGCUGGAGUCUUGUAGAGGGGGGUGGAAUUCCAGGUGUAGCGGUGAAAUGCGUAGAGAUCUGGAGGAAUACCGGUGGCGAAGGCGGCCCCCUGGACAAAGACUGACGCUCAGGUGCGAAAGCGUGGGGAGCAAACAGGAUUAGAUACCCCAGUAGUCCCUGUCUCUUAUAC